GAGAACCUAAAAGCAGCAAAUAUUUGGGCAUUAAAGCGAUUAUUCAAUUAUCAAGUUGCCAAUUAAGUUUAUGUUGAUUAAUAAUUGGUUAAUCGAUUGUUGCAACACUAGUUCUGUCUAUGUAAACUGGGCAGGUUUUUGUCCUGUCACCAGUGAAAUUGUGUUUUUGUCUGUGUCUGUAUAUGUGUGUAUACCUGACUGACAAUUCCCCCAUUGUCACUUCUGAAUAGUGAGUGUCUGGGAGAGUCUUGACCUUGUCAAGUGUACUUCACCCAUCACAUGAUUGAGCUGCUUUUGGCGAGAAGAGUGAGAGGUUUGGGGACUUGCAUACAAUGAAAUGGUCCCUGAGACAGCUACAGACUGGAGCUUGGGCACACACUGUAGUGUCCUUGACUGUCCUUGGUUCUUCAACUAAAAAACUAUUCAACAAAAGAUGAAAUAUCCACUUUGCACUGCUGCAGGUCACCUGUGUUACCACCCCAGGUCACCACUUACUGUACCUAUAAUGUUUUACUGAUUGUUGACUUUAUGUAGAGCAUUUAUACAUAUUAUCUUUGCUGCCUCAUUUAUCUUCUUCUCUUGUAUUAAACUGAUAUUACUUGUCUGUUGGUGCAUUUUCAUAUACUCAGUUCAGAACGCCUCCAAUAGAGCAAGCCAAAGGUCUCUGAGCAGCAGACUAAAUCAAUCUGAACGUCUGUGUGGUUGAAAUGUGGACAUUCAUUUACUUCUACAAGCCUGUGAAUUUUCUUUUUUGUCAAAGUCAGCAGCUUCUGGUACAAAACAACACCAGCUGUAUUGUUCAUUGACAACAUGUCAAAGAUCUGCUUCACAUGAAUAACUUCUGUGAUUCUUGACUUUAUCUUCAGAGAGGAAAGACUUUUCCUUUAACUAACGCAAACAUUCACUCUUUUUUCAGUAUUUAGUAGCCAUCAUUUGAGGCCCUUUUAAAGCAGUGUGUGCAUUUAAAAAAAAAAUACACACUCUCCCCACCACCCUCCAUUUGCUGCAUCUACCCCACAGCACUGGCUGCAAUCAGCAGUGUAAUUUUAGGGAGCUCGGGAAUGGACAUUAACCUGUCGCUUUUCUAACGACCUUAAAUUGUUCGUACUGCUAAUAAAGGCUCACUUGCUACCAAAUGAUGGGAGUGAAUGUCUGUGUGCUGCUGCCUCUGUUCAGAUCAUUUCAUUGUGUUUACCUCUAUGUAAAAAAAGCAUAUACUUUCCCAUGAUUCUCAUGAAAUCUGCUGCUUUCCAUCCAUUUGUGGUAACGCAUAAAAAAAAAAAAAGUUCUUAAGCUUGGAGAAGGAGGGAAAGUUGGUUUAUUGAUAAAAGCAAAAUGUGACAAAGUGCAAUGGAAACAGACUUGUCAAAGAAUUCAUGAUGUACAUGACUCAUGUGGAGAGGGACUUUUUAUUUUUUGACCUGUGGCAGGUCAAUGCCCAAGCACUGACACAGUAAAUGGAGUUGUUUUCUGCCCUUCCACUGGCCAACGAGUCACAAAAGCUGACCCACGUGUGUUUUUUGGUCUGUGGAGAAUCUGGCAUGCAGAGGGUGGAGUCAUGGCUGGAGUUGAGCAAGAGUAGAAAAAAAAAAACAAUCUUAAAGGGCAGACACACCUGCAGUACUUAAUCAAAAAGGCAGCAGGAAGAUCUCCGAAAUGAGGAAAAAAAAUGUCUUGUGCUGUUGGAUGUCAGAAUAGGAAUGCAAAAAAAGGUGACCUUCAUUUUUAUGGAAUGCCGUCGUCAAAAACGCCCUUUCAACCCAAACAUACGUUGUUUAUGGUUGCAAACCAUUAAACGGACAGACUGGACUGAUGAAAUCCCCCGGAAUUCUCGUCUCUGCAGUGCUCAUUUCAUAUCAGGCAAGGUUUUCUCCACUGUUUAUCACACACAAAGGCAAAUGUAGUUAAUAAUGAUAAAUUAGUAACAGCAGCAAUCACAAAGCUGACAAUCUCAGUAGACUAUUUCAUAAUGGUAAACACCAUUGACCAAAGUUAGCAACAUUAGUGUUUAAGCAGAAGUAGCAUGUAAACAAAACAAACAAACCAAAUUUCGUUUUAGACAAGCAUUUAAGAAAUUAAUGAAUGAAUGGGGCAGUAAUAUUAUAUCUGUGAUAUGUCAUUUACUUUACCCUAUAACUAAGCAUAAACUUAGCCAAGCCUUGGGACCACAUAUUUUCAUUGUGGUUACAAUGUAAUGACAGAGGAUUUCUUACAGGGGAGGUAUCCAUGGAUCCAGAAAGUCCAGACUUUGUUGCUUCAUUGUUCACUUAUUCAAGGCAGAGUCAGUGUAUGGAUGCUUCAAAAAAUUGUUCAGGUUCAAUAGGAAGAGAAAGAGGGCUGAAGCUAUCAGCAAGUCCUUUCUGGCUGACACAUCAAGCUCUCUCACUGCAGCUCAAGUGUUCUCCACUGUGGAGAAGACAACAGACUCUCAGCCUCCAGACUGUCAAGAGGAGCUUUGUACUAAUGAAGAAGAUGUCAUGAUCCCUCAAGCCAUCUAUAGUGAACUCAAAGUCCAGCAUGACCAGCUUCUGACAGAGUGUGUCAACAAAAUGCAACACACUCAAAGAGGAAAAUAAGCAGCUGAAGGAGGAACUUGGCAGUAAGAGGUUUUCUUUCAGCUUUUCUUUCAGUCAGAAACAAAACUCAACAAUCCUCUUCUUUGCUUGUCUGACCACUAUCAUUUUUGAGUGAUUGCUAUCAAAAUUGAAAGACAGUGUAUUGGUGAUGCAGGGAAGAUGACCUGGAAGAUCACGUGUUGAUUGUGUUAAUGAAACUGUGCUUGGGUGUAACUAAUAAGGACAUUGCCUUUAGGUUUAAUGUAACAGAUACUGUUAACUCAAAUAUUAUAAGAAACUUGCUCCCUAUAGUGACACAGACAUUAAAAACAAUCAUCAUAUGGCCAACCAGGAAGGCUAUUCUCAGGAAAAUGCCAAAAGGUUUUAAAAGGAAAUGUAAGCAAUGUCAGAGUAUCUUGACUGCAUUGAGAUUUUUUAUUAAUAAACCUGAUAAUCUUACUGCUUGAGCACAGACAUGGUCAAAUUAAAAGCAUCACCAUUCAGUUAAAUACUUUAGUUGGGGUUAAUUGGGGAGCAAUUUCAUUUUUGUCAUUAGGUUGGGGUGCCUGCGUUUCUGACAAAGGAAUAACAUCAAAAUCGGGAUUCUUUGAACUACUGGAGCCAAAAGAUGAUAUUUUGACUGAUCGAGGGUUUUUGAUUAGGGAGGACCUUGCAGCAUACAGAGCCACCCUUAAUAUUCCACACUUCACAAAAGGCAAGAAAAAGCUCUCUGAUCAUGAAGUUGACACAUCAAGAAGACUGUCAAAUGUGAGAAUACAUGUGGAAAGAGUCACUGGUCGAUGGAAGAAAUUAAAAAAUUUAACAUCUGUAAUUCCACUUACUCAGGUGGACAUCCUAGACAAUAUGGUAAUAGUGUGUGGGGCAUUAACAAAUCUUUGCCAAAGUGUUGUGCCUAAAAGACAGACACACUAACAAGGCAGCUAAUCAUUCACAAUGUGAAAAAGAAGCAAAGUGCUCACAGGUUGAACUGAGGUGGGUACUUAAUACAUGGUUCAUUUCCAGGGUUUCAUUGUGAGUUAACUGGGGGAUGGUUUCUCUUUAUGCAUGAGUUAUUUUAGCUGUUUUUGAUUGACUUUCAGUAUUGACACCAAUAAUGAAAUGAUGCUCUACAUUUUCUAUUUCAUAUUUCAUGAAUAUAUACUAAGAAUUGUUUUUUAUACCUGCACUUGUGUCUGGUCUCAUUACCACAGUCCUAGAAUUUUGUUGUACUGUAGUCAAUACAAGUACACUGUGUACUUAGUGGUGUGACAAAUGAACCUUGACUUAAACAGUAAGUAAGAAUAAAAGUCUGGAUAAAAUUCACAAGGCUGUAUUUAGAGUAUUGAAAGUAUUUCUUUUUUCUUUAACAAUGAAUUUAAUGACUUCAUAUGCAGUUUGUGAGGAGACAAAAUGAUGAAACAUUUAGAACAUUUGAACACAAAUGAAUGUUUCAGUUUUUUACUAACCAUUUUGUCAAUUGAACAAAACGUUUGGGGUGGAAGUACUCUAAAAUUAAUAUUAAGUAUAUUUGACAUUCUCUACUAUUAAGUAUUUUGUUUUUAAAAUUUGAAUCUAUUGACCAAAAUCGAUAGAUAUUUGGAGCAACACUGCUUAUAAACCCACAUACUGAAGAGCAAAUGUACACAGAUAAGAUGAACACUAAUCUAAAUUUGCAGAUUGUAAAGGAACAAUGUUCAUGAACUUGCUUUUAACUGUUUACAUUAUGUCCAUGUGGAGCUAUAUUGCCUUUUCGGUAUUGUUCUGUUUGCAAAACUACUUAGAUCGCAUUCUUUUGAUCUGAAUACGCGUGUAGUAGAAACAACUUUUGCAAUUGGCACAGUCAAUCAACUAACCAUAGUCUGACCUGUUGCAGUGUGGACAGUACAGUGCAUGUUAAUCUAGGAGGCUGGGGUCCAUGCUCUUGGUCAACAGCUCUGGCAGAAGAUGGUUCAGAAAAAGUUGUUCAGCCUUGGACAAGGCUCUCAGCAGCAAGUCUUUAUCUCUCACAGUACGAUUGAUGACCAUGACCUGUUUGGUCCAAACUACAAGUCACUGUAGUGGACAUCAUACGCAAAAAUCUGCAGCUGGACCUGGUAAUAAUAUGAGUGGUUCCUCUUCAGCUGCCCAUUUGUGUCAAGGCAGAACUGUGGGUCUUCAUUGCAUCUGGUCAGGCCCUCUCUGUAUUUAUAUGGGCACUUAAUCUCCAGUGUUCCGCCCUCACAACAUGAACAGCUCACAAUCCCAUCAGACGAUGCAGAGAUGUAAGUGGUCUUGGAAAACAACAAGACCAGAGAGUCUAGCAAAGAAAUUAGUGUGACCUUUUCUCAUUUCUUCAAUGUAGCAUUUUCUUACUGUAUUCUCUGUUUCUCUCCUCCAGAGUACUAUUGGUACUCAUAGAUCCUCUGUCUUAUUGUAAUGCAUGAUGUUUUUAAUGUCAUUGUCUGUAGGCUCUCCAGCUGUGUACAAAUGGUAUAAGUUUGUUCUUGUUAUUUUGCCUUCUGUGUGUGUGCCAACACCUGCAUUUUGAUUGCUCCCUGGUAUUAAGCUUGAGGGUUUCACAUUGAUCUGAAGUAAGCUUCUUUCUAAGGGUGUUUUAAAACCUAUAGAAAAUUUCAAGCAAACCAAAAUGUAUCAACAAAAGCUGUGUGGGAGCUGUCACUCAAUUCAUGGGUCAGAAAUCUUAUGGGGUUGGCAGGCAGAGAAAGGAGAGCAGAAUUGCCGUUUCUUCAUUAUUGUGGUCAUCGUUUGAGCCAUAUACCAAGCUUCAAUAUGUGAACAGAAUGGCACAUUUGAACACACUUCAAGGCAACAUCUAGAGAACAAUGUGUUGCUUCACAUCAUGUGAAGAAGGCUUGCUGCCUUCAGUUGGCUGAAGUGGAGAAGGGAGCACAUAUUGAGCACACACCACGACAUAAUGCAUAAUAAUAAUAACAUAAUGCACAGCGCAGCUUGCUACGGAAGCUGGUUUAUUUCAAAAAAGUGCAGUUGGAAGCAUUUCUUGGUCAGAUCACGUCGGAUCACGUUCAUACCACUAACGAACCAUACCAGAGUUAAUUUGUAACCGGACCAAGACCACCUGUUCAACAAGGUCUUGGUCUGGUUGUUUUGGUCCACACCAAGUUCGAUUGCUGUGUUCACACCUGGUCAAAGGAACCGCACCAAGGGGGUAAAUGCUCCAGGGUUUGAUUCAACGGAACUUAACAAGACAGGUGAGAAAAAGUCUCUGAAAAAAGUCUCUGAAACAUCUCAAGACACUUCUCCUUUAGUGUGUGUAGUGGUCAUUGGGCAAACUCCAAGAACAAGCACUGCAAAAAGCCAAAGUGAUGCUCUCAUCAUCAACUACUAUGACUCCAACUGCCGGACUGUUGUCAGCGCAGAUGCAAGCAGCUACAGCUUGGAACCAUAGUACUGCAGGAACACAUUGGUGGGUUGAGACCAGUCGCUUACUGCUCAUGCACUCUAACUGAGACGGCGAAACGAUUCUUCCAGAUAGAGUAGGAGUGCUUGGCAGCAGUGUGGUUUGCAUGUACAAGGAAUUGACAGUUACUAUCUCCAAACAGAUCACAAACCGCUAGUACUGCUGAUCAAUGCAUAUGAUCUGGACCAAGCACCGAUGCUGUGUCAGAGACUGUUAAUGUGCAUCAUGAGGUUCAGUGUGACAGCUGUGCAUGUUCUGGGGAAACAGCUUAUCAUGGCUGACACUACCCAGAAGUCCCUUGAGCCAGGAAGCACAGUCAGACACAGAUCAAGAUGUCAAGAUCGAAGCAGUGGUGACAAACAAACCAAUUUUAUCAGACAAGCUCAACGAUAUAAGAGAAGCUAUGCGGAAUCACUCAGACCUCCAGACGGUCAUCACCUGCCUCUGAAAUGGCUGGCCGUGUAGGGUGGCUGAGUUUCUGUCCUCCUAUGCAUUCUAUGCUUCCAGAAAUCACCUUUGUGAGUCAGAGGGUUCUGAGUCUCUCUUGUUCUGUACCAUGACCAAAUAGUCACCCCUGCACCGCUGAGAACCAAUGUCCUGAAACAAAUCCAUGAUGGCCACCAGGGGCUGACCAAGGGCCGCGAAAAGAGCCAAGAUGUCUGCCAGGCGUCAGCGGUGAAAUAAAAGUCCUUCUGCCAGAAGGACCCUGGCAGAGAAUUGCAGCAGACCUGUGUGAGCUGGAAGGAAAAAGUUAUCUGAUAUUUGUUAACUACUAUUCCCACUACAUCGAGAUGGCCCACCUACCUUCUACAUCAAGCCUUCAGGUCAUCAACUGGCUCAAAAGCAUAUUCUCUGGAUGGGGAAUACCACUGGAGCUUGUCAGCGACAAUGCCAUGCAGUUUGCAUCAGCUGAGUUCAGUGACUUCAGUAGUAUGGGUUUGCUCACAUGACCUCCAGUCCCCACUACCCCAGGCAAAUGGGGCAGCUGUAAGAGCAGUCCAAACUGCUUAAUGGAUUCUCAGACAGCCUGACCCAUACCUGGCCCUGAUGUGCUACUGGAUGACACCCAUCACUGUGAAAGGGGCUAGUCCGGCUCAAUUGAUGAUAGGACGGCAGAUCCAUACCAUUGUUCCCAUGUUGGAAGAGAAACUGCAAGCCACUCCUAUUAGUUGUGACCAGGUACAGAUAAAAGACUUCAGAGCCAAAAAGGUAUGAGUAUUUCUACAACCACUGACACUCUGUCCACCCACUUUCAGCACUGAAUCCAGGUCAGGCCGUCAGUCAUGCUGGAUGGGGAAAAAGGAAUGAGGUGGGUGGAAAAUCAGCAGAACCACAAUCCUACCUUAUCAGAAUACAUAAAGGCACAGUGAUGCGUUGCAACAGGAAACACCUGCAGGCUGUUCCAGAGAGCACUGAGCCUGCUGACCAACAGCACCAGUUGGAGGAAAGACUGUCACAGCCAGUCAACAGUCCCCGCCUUGCAACGGUCACCAGGGAGGUUGGAUCACCCCUGGGCUGGUCGCCCCCAGAGACAUGAUCCUAGCAAUCAAACCACAGCUAAAUAAUAGACCUUGGUGGUUAAUAUCAAAUGAAAACUGCUAUGUUCUUACAUCAAAGUUGUUACUCACUCCAUAAAUGUAUGUCUUUUUUGUAUCUGGAAGAGCACAAAGUUGUUAAUUCCAAAACUGUCCAUUUCUGUUUGUGGAAGGCUGCCCUUUUUAGUUAUGUUCAAUGUUUUCUUGACAUCAAGUUUAUGCAAGCAUAUUUGCACUGAUGUGUUGUGCUUGUGAUUGCAAUUGAGAUCUUUAUUGAUUCAUGUAUGACAAAAUACCACAGCCUGUGGUUCAUUGUGCAUCAUGUUUGAGUAGGAGAUUAAUCAAAGAAUCAGAUUGAUUGAAAGAUCUAAUCCAUCACUUUCUGACAGUUUGAUUGAUUCAACUUUAACCACCCAUUUAUUUGAUAUUAGUUCAGGGUGUCUAAAUAAAGCUGUUUCACCAGCUGAACAACUUUGUUCCCACCCUCUUUAUCUGUUUGACUGUCUUUAGUGACUUGUUUUGCCUCCAAAGAGGCCAAAACAAAUAAAAGGUUGAGCUUGUAUUGCUUUUGUUGAUCCCACAUACUGGUAGCCAAUCAAAAAUUAUGCUGGUGCAGAUAUUCAGUAUUUGUAAGAAAGAAUCUUGUCUA